UGCUUUCCCCUCUCUACGUUAAGAAAAGGGCGAGCGGCGGGCGACCUCGUGUCCAGCGUCGAUCUCGUCAGCUUUCCCUCGCCUCCGGUGGCCGGUUUGGCACCGGAGGGGAUGGGGAGCUGCGAGAUCGUCGGCCGGUGUACACACCCUCUCCUUCUAGCUUAGGAUUAGGUAGGUUAGGGUUAGCUUUGCUCCCGGCGGCGAUGUCGAGCGAGCCAAUAAUCUGCCUCCUUGUUCUUGUCUCCGCUGGAGGUUGGAUGAGGACGGCUGAAAUCCCCUGUGUUCUUCCUGCUGGGGUGCUGGGUGUUCCUUCUGAGGCAGGCCCAUGGAUGAUUUUGCUUCUCCAGAGCUUCUCCUGCGACGGCGACGGCGAAGCAGCUGCGCGUCGACUUCGUUGGUGCUGCCGGUUCUUUCCUCUUCCAAGAUCUUGACGGCGUCGGCCGAUGCACGCCAGAGGGGAGAUGGUUUGCGGCUUCAAGCUGGAGGCCCCUGUCGAUGUCUUGGUUGAGUUCUCGUCCUGGGCGACGUGCUCCUUCUCCGUCUCCGGCGGAUCUAGAGGAUGUGCGAUGUCCAGGAGAUCUGCGUCAAGACCUAAGAACUUUUGUUUCAAAUUCGAAAUGUUCUAGGGUCUUGCAUGAAACUUUACAUUACUGGAGGAUGUGUGCUGAGGACUUGAUUGUAAUUUCUAGUUCCUCCAGGGUGUUGGUUGUAAGAUCCAGGCUCUUUUAAUAAACGGGAUCCAGUCCCUUCGCAAAAAA